rnacentral:tRNA from 1 species
GCCUGGGUGGCUCAGUCGGUUAAGCGGCUGACUUCAGCUCAGGUCAUGAUCUCUCCGUCCGUGGGUUCGAGCCCCACGUCAGGCU